CCUACGGGCGGCAGCAGUGACGAAUAUUGGUCAAUGGGCGCGAGCCUGAACCAGCCAAGUCGCGUGAGGGAGGACGGCCCUACGGGCUGUAAACCUCUGUUGCCGGGGAGCAACGGGCGUCACGUGUGGAGCCACUGAGAGUACCCGGAGAAAAAGCAUCGGCUAACUACGUACCAGCAGCCGCGGUAAUACGGAGGAUGCGAGCGAUAUCCUGAUUUAAUGGGUUUAAAGGGUGCGUAGGAGGAUCGUUAAGUCAGGGGUCAAAUUGAGGGGCUCAACCCCUUCCCGCCAUUGAAACUGGCGUUCUUGAGUGGAAGAGAAGUAUGCGGAAUGCGUGGUGUAGCGGUGAAAUGCAUAGAUAUCACGCAGAACCCCGAUUGCGAAGGCAGCAUGCCGGCUUCUGACUGACGCUGAAGCACGAAAGCGUGGGGAUCGAACAGGAUUAGAUACCCCUGUAGUC
rnacentral:rRNA from 1 species